rnacentral:rRNA from 1 species
GACGAACGCUGGCGGCGUGCCUAAUACAUGCAAGUCGAGCGCAGGAAACUGACGGAACUCUUCGGAGGGAAGGCAGUGGAAUGAGCGGCGGACGGGUGAGUAACACGUAAGGAGCCUGCCUCAAGGAUUGGGAUAACUCCGAGAAAUCGGAGCUAAUACCGGAUAGUUCAACGGACCGCAUGGUCCGCUGAUGAAGGGCGCUCCGGCGUCACCUUGAGAUGGCCUUGCGGUGCAUUAGCUAGUUGGUGGGGUAACGGCCCACCAAGGCGACGAUGCAUAGCCGACCGGAGAGGGUGAUCGGCCACACUGGGACUGGGACACGGCCCAGACUCCUACGGGAGGCAGCAGUAGGGAAUCUUCCACAAUGGACGAAAGUCUGAUGGAGCAACGCCGCGUGAGUGAUGAAGGUUUUCGGAUCGUAAAACUCUGUUGUAAGGGAAGAACACGUACGAGAGGGAAUGCUCGUACCUUGACGGUACCUUACGAGAAAGCCACGGCUAACUACGUGCCAGCAGCCGCUGUAACAC